GAUGAACGCUGGCGGCGUGCAUAACACAUUCAAGUCGAACGGACAAGGGGCUUCGGCCCUGCGUUAGUGGCGGACGGGUGAGUAACGCGUGAGCAACCUGCCUCUGUGUGUGGGAUAACGUCUGGAAACGGACGCUAAUACCGCAUGAAGCAACGGAAUCGCAUGUUUCUGUUGCCAAAGAUUUAUUGCACAGAGAUGGGCUCGCGUCUGAUUAGCUAGUUGGUGGGGUAACGGCCCACCAAGGCGACGAUCAGUAGCCGGACUGAGAGGUUGACCGGCCACAUUGGGACUGAGAUACGGCCCAGACUCCUACGGGAGGCAGCAGUGGGGAAUAUUGGGCAAUGGGCGCAAGCCUGACCCAGCAACGCCGCGUGAAGGAAGAAGGCUUUCGGGUUGUAAACUCUUUAUAAGGGACGAAACAAAUAGACGGUACCUUAUGAAUAAGCCAACGGCUAACUACGUG
rnacentral:rRNA from 1 species